UACGUAGGGGGCUAGCGUUGUCCGGAUUUAUUGGGCGUAAAGAGCGUGUAGGCGGCCAGGUAGGUCUGCUGUGAAAACUCGAGGCUCAACCUCGAGACGUCGGCGGAAACCAUCUGGCUAGAGUCCGGAAGAGGAGAGUGGAAUUCCUGGUGUAGCGGUGAAAUGCGCAGAUAUCAGGAAGAACACCCGUGGCGAAGGCGGCUCGCUGGGCCACACCUGACGCUGAGACGCGAAAGCUAGGGGAGCGAACAGG
rnacentral:rRNA from 1 species